rnacentral:tRNA from 1 species
GGCGGCGUAGCCAAGUGGUAAGGCAGAGGACUGCAAAUCCUUUAUGCGCCGGUUCAAAUCCGGCCGCCGCCU